CAGGCGGGGAGUGUCCUGUCAGUCUCGCCAGCAGAGGGUGCUCUAGCUUUUCUAUGUUCUAUUUAUGUUAAAUAGCCAAUAAGAUUGUUUAGGUGAGUGAGAAGGCAAAUUAGUCACAUGUUCAGUUGUGAUCGUCGACAGAGUGAUCGAGACAGACGUGGUUUGACUUUGCAUCCAUCCCUCUUUGUUUGUCUUUGGAAAUCAUUACUUGUGAGUAUUUUUCAGUUGUAAGAAUGUUUCAAGACAUUAUAUUUGAUUAUUUUGAUAAUAUUUUGAAAAAGUGCAGCUAUUCCUUUCACACAAAGAUCAAAGGCAUGUUUUGUAGUGUUUAUUACGGAGCACUUGUAUUUAAGUUUGUAAUGGCUGUAUGUGUUUUUAAUCAUUGCCUUACAUAUAUUUUGUUUAUAUUUCUAUUUUUGUAGUUUUACUCGGUUGGCAUUUGAAGAUAACUUGUCAAUAAAGAAGACGAUUCAUCUGUCUGCUUAGCUGUGGUCAGUUCUUCAGUGAGAGCAGAAUAGUUAUAUACAGUUAUAUAUAAUUAUAUACAGUUACAUAAAGUAAUAUACAGUAAUAUAUAGUUAUAUACAGUUAUAUACAGUAAUAUAUAGUUAUAUACAGUUAUAUAUAGUAAUAUACAGUUAUAUACAGUAAUAUACAGUUAUAUAUAGUAACAUACAGUAAUAUACUGUAAUAUAUAGUAAUAUAUAGUAAUAUGCUGUAAUAUACAGUUAUAUACAGUAAUAUACAGUUAUAUAUAGUUAUGUACAGUUAUAUAUAGUAAUAUACUGUAAUAUACAAUUACAUACAGUUAUAUACUGUAAUAUACAGUUACAUACAGUUAUAUACAGUUAUAUACAGCACAUUCAGUGUAUACAUAUAUCAAUAAAUUAUAUAGUCAUUUUUCACUCGAUGUGUUUCACCUCUCAGGCAGAAAACUCCGUUGCCAUAGUAACAGAUACAUCAACAGAGGCUGCAGCUGAAGUGACCCCUGACCCCGAACCAGUCCCCAGCUCCACCCCCACAGCUCCGUCCACCGUGCUUGAGGAGGAGGAGGAUGAGGAAGAGGAGGUGGAGGAGGAGUGCGUCAGCGCUCUGCAGCUCGUAGGAGACUAUGGCUGUGAGGAGGAGGAAGUCUUUUAG
rnacentral:lncRNA from 15 species